rnacentral:rRNA from 1 species
GCUAGCUACAGGCUUAACACAUGCAAGUCGAGGGGCAUCAGGAAGAAAGCUUGCUUUCUUUGCUGGCGACCGGCGCACGGGUGAGUAACACGUAUCCAACCUGCCCUUUACUCGGGGAUAGCCUUUCGAAAGAAAGAUUAAUACCCGAUGGCAUAAUGAUUCCGCAUGGUUUCAUUAUUAAAGGAUUCCGGUAAAGGAUGGGGAUGCGUUCCAUUAGGUUGUUGGUGAGGUAACGGCUCACCAAGCCUUCGAUGGAUAGGGGUUCUGAGAGGAAGGUCCCCCACAUUGGAACUGAGACACGGUCCAAACUCCUACGGGAGGCAGCAGUGAGGAAUAUUGGUCAAUGGGCGCUAGCCUGAACCAGCCAAGUAGCGUGAAGGAUGAAGGCUCUAUGGGUCGUAAACUUCUUUUAUAUAAGAAUAAAGUGCAGUAUGUAUACUGUUUUGUAUGUAUUAUAUGAAUAAGGAUCGGCUAACUCCGUGCCAGCAGCCGCGGUAAUACGGAGGAUCCGAGCGUUAUCCGGAUUUAUUGGGUUUAAAGGGAGCGUAGGUGGACUGGUAAGUCAGUUGUGAAAGUUUGCGGCUCAACCGUAAAAUUGCAGUUGAUACUGUCAGUCUUGAGUACAGUAGAGGUGGGCGGAAUUCGUGGUGUAGCGGUGAAAUGCUUAGAUAUCACGAAGAACUCCGAUUGCGAAGGCAGCUCACUGGACUGCAACUGACACUGAUGCUCGAAAGUGUGGGUAUCAAACAGGAUUAGAUACCCUGGUAGUCCACACAGUAAACGAUGAAUACUCGCUGUUUGCGAUAUACAGUAAGCGGCCAAGCGAAAGCAUUAAGUAUUCCACCUGGGGAGUACGCCGGCAACGGUGAAACUCAAAGGAAUUGACGGGGGCCCGCACAAGCGGAGGAACAUGUGGUUUAAUUCGAUGAUACGCGAGGAACCUUACCCGGGCUUAAAUUGCAGUGGAAUGAUGUGGAAACAUGUCAGUGAGCAAUCACCGCUGUGAAGGUGCUGCAUGGUUGUCGUCAGCUCGUGCCGUGAGGUGUCGGCUUAAGUGCCAUAACGAGCGCAACCCUUAUCUUUAGUUACUAACAGGUUAUGCUGAGGACUCUAGAGAGACUGCCGUCGUAAGAUGUGAGGAAGGUGGGGAUGACGUCAAAUCAGCACGGCCCUUACGUCCGGGGCUACACACGUGUUACAAUGGGGGGUACAGAAGGCAGCUAGCGGGUGACCGUAUGCUAAUCCCAAAAGCCUCUCUCAGUUCGGAUCGAAGUCUGCAACCCGACUUCGUGAAGCUGGAUUCGCUAGUAAUCGCGCAUCAGCCACGGCGCGGUGAAUACGUUCCCGGGCCUUGUACACACCGCCCGUCAAGCCAUGGGAGCCGGGGGUACCUGAAGUACGUAACCGCAAGGAUCGUCCUAGGGUAAAACUGG